rnacentral:misc_RNA from 1 species
AAUUUUAAAUUNCUUAAAUAAUCCCNNNCUUCCCGUAGGGGUGNACUGCGGAAGGAUCAUUAAAGAAAUUUAAUAAUUUUGAAAAUGGAUUUUUUUUUUGUUUUGGCAAGAGCAUGAGAGCUUUUACUGGGCAAGAAGACAAGAGAUGGAGAGUCCAGCCGGGCCUGCGCUUAAGUGCGCGGUCUUGCUAGGCUUGUAAGUUUCUUUCUUGCUAUUCCAAACGGUGAGAGAUUUCUGUGCUUUUGUUAUAGGACAAUUAAAACCGUUUCAAUACAACACACUGUGGAGUUUUUCAUAUCUUUGCAACUUUUUCUUUGGGCAUUCGAGCAAUCGGGGCCCAGAGGUAACAAACACAAACAAUUUUAUCUAUUCAUUAAAUUUUUGUCAAAAACAAGAAUUUUCGUAACUGGAAAUUUUAAAAUAUUAAAAACUUUCAACAACGGAUCUCUUGGUUCUCGCAUCGAUGAAAAACGCAGCGAAAUGCGAUACGUAAUGUGAAUUGCAAAAUUCCGUGAAUCAUCGAAUCUUUGAACGCACAUUGCGCCCCUUGGUAUUCCAGGGGGCAUGCCUGUUUGAGCGUCAUUUCCUUCUCAAACAUUCUGUUUGGUAGUGAGUGAUACUCUUUGGAGUUAACUUGAAAUUGCUGGCCUUUUUCAUUGGAUGUUUUUUUUUCCAAAAAAAGGUUUCUCUGCGUGCUUGAGGUAUAAUGCAAGUACGGUCGUUUUAGGUUUUACCAACUGCGGCUAAUCUUUUUUAUACUGAGCGUAUUGGAACGUUAUCGAUAAGAAGAGAGCGUCUAGGCGAACAAUGUUCUUAAAGUUUGACCUCAAAUCAGGUAGGAGUACCGCUGANUUAAGCAUAU